GAUAAGUCAGAUGUGAAAUCCCCGGGCUUAACCUGGGAACUGCAUCUGAAACUGUUAGGCUAGAGUAGGUGAGANGGAAGUAGAAUUUCAGNUGUAGCGGUGAAAUGCGUAGAGAUCUGAAGGAAUACCGAUGGCGAAGGCAGCUUCCUGGCAUCAUACUGACACUGAGGCUCGAAAGCGUGGGUAGCAAACAGGAUUAGAUACCCUGGUAGUCCACGCCGUAAACGAUGUCUACUAGUCGUUGGGUCCCUUGAGGACUUAGUGACGCAGCUAACGCAAUAAGUAGACCGCCUGGGGAGUACGGCCGCAAGGUUAAAACUCAAAUGAAUUGACGGGGGCCCGCACAAGCGGUGGAGCAUGUGGUUUAAUUCGAUGCAACGCGAAGAACCUUACCUGGUCUUGACAUAUCUAGAAUCCUGCAGAGAUGCGGGAGUGCCUUCGGGAAUUAGAAUACAGGUGCUGCAUGGCUGUCGUCAGCUCGUGUCGUGAGAUGUUGGGUUAAGUCCCGCAACGAGCGCAACCCUUGUCCUUAGUUACCAGCGGGUUAAGCCGGGAACUCUAAGGAUACUGCCAGUGACAAACUGGAGGAAGGCGGGGACGACGUCAAGUCAUCAUGGCCCUUACGACCAGGGCUACACACGUGCUACAAUGGUAGGUACAGAGGGCAGCUACACAGCGAUGUGAUGCGAAUCUCAAAAAGCCUAUCGUAGUCCAGAUUGGAGUCUGCAACUCGACUCCAUGAAGUAGGAAUCGCUAGUAAUCGCGGAUCAGAAUGCCGCGGUGAAUACGUUCCCGGGCCUUGUACACACCGCCCGUCACACCAUGGGAGUUGAUUGCACCAGAAGUGGAUAGCUUNNCC
rnacentral:rRNA from 1 species